GUUAUUGUGGCCGUGAGGUUAAAGCGAUAGUCUUGUAAUCUUUUGGGAUCUUCCCGCGCAGGUUCGAAUCCUGCCGACAAUG
rnacentral:tRNA from 1 species